rnacentral:rRNA from 1 species
UACGUAGGGACCAAGCGUUGUUCGGAUUUACUGGGCGUAAAGGGCGCGUAGGCGGCUUGUCAAGUCACUUGUGAAAUCUCUGGGCUUAACCCAGAACGGCCAAGUGAAACUGUCAUGCUAGAGUGCAGAAGGGGCAAUCGGAAUUCUUGGUGUAGCGGUGAAAUGCGUAGAUAUCAAGAGGAACACCUGAGGUGAAGACGGGGUUGCUGGGCUGACACUGACGCUGAGGCGCGAAAGCCAGGGGAGCAAACGGG